UGAGAAGAAAAGAAAAGGAAAAGGCAUAUUUGCUCCAGCUAGUAGGAGAAGAAUCAUAUCUCUCCGGACAAACGAGUGAUCCGAUCCGAUCCACUUGGCAACCAGCGCCAUGCCCAAGUUACUACUAUCACUGCAAGGCUGAUCAGCAAGCAAGCCGGCGGCAGCGGCAGCAGCGCUCGUCCUCGGCUCCCAAGACGACGGGGUCACGGCGAGGCAGGGGAGGGGACAGCGUCGCCAGGUCGUGGGAGGGGAAAGCUGGGACGGCCCACGGGACACAUGACUGUCGCCAUCGCCGCCGCCUGCAGUGGCCUCCGGCGUCAGGUACCGGCACAUGGCCGCGCCUGGCACGCGGCCCUCCCCCCUCCGGUCUCCCCUCCUGCUGAGCAGAGCAGCUGCUGCCCGGCGCCGACGGCCUCUGCUCGCUCGCCGGCACCACCC
rnacentral:lncRNA from 1 species